GAAAUGCGAUAAGUAAGGUGAAUUGCAGAAUUCAGUGAAUCAUCGAAUCUUUGAACGCACCUUGCGCUCCUUGGUAUUCCUUGGAGCAUGCCUGUUUGAGUAUCAUGAAAUCUUCAAAGUAAAUCUUUUGUUAACUCAAUUGGUUUCUACUUUGGUAUUGGAGGUCUUUGCAGCUUCACACCUGCUCCUCUUUGUUCAUUAGCUGGAUCUCAGUGUUAUGCUUGGUUCCACUCGGCGUGAUAAGUUAUCUAUCGCUGAGGACACUGUAAAAGGUGGCCAAGGUAAAUGCAGAUGAACCGCUUCUAAUAGUCCAUUGACUUGGACAAUACUUUUAUGAUCUGAUCUCAAAUCAGGUAGGACUACCCGCUGAACUUAAGC
rnacentral:misc_RNA from 1 species